GCCGAUGUAGCUCAGUGGUAGAGCAACGGUAUCGUAAACCGUAGGUCGCGGGUUCAAAUCCCGCCGUCGGCU
rnacentral:tRNA from 1 species